GACGUAGGGCGCGAGCGUUGUCCGGAUUUAUUGGGCGUAAAGAGCUCGUAGGCGGUCUGUUGCGUCGGCUGUGAAAACCCGGGGCUCAACUCCGGGCCUGCAGCCGAUACGGGCAGACUAGAGUUCGGUAGGGGAGACUGGAAUUCCUGGUGUAGCGGUGAAAUGCGCAGAUAUCAGGAGGAACACCGGUGGCGAAGGCGGGUCUCUGGGCCGAUACUGACGCUGAGGAGCGAAAGCGUGGGGAGCGAACAGG
rnacentral:rRNA from 1 species